GGGGGGGGGGGGGGGGGGGGGGGGGGGGGGCGGGGCGGGCGGGGGGGCGGGGCGGGGGGGGGGUGCGCGGGGGGGGGACGGGUGGGGGACAGGUGGGUAACCGGCCCUUGACUUUGGGGUAACUUCAGGAAACGGGGGCUAAUACCGGAGAGGAGCUGCUGCUGCAGGGUGGGGGGGGGAAAGUUUCGGCGGUGGGGGAUGGACUCGCGGUUUAGAAGCUUGUUGGGGGGGUAGGGGCUUACCAAGGCUUUGGCGGGUCGCCGGACUGAGAGGGUGACCGGCCACCUUGGGACUGAGGUACGGCCCAGACUCCUACGGGAGGCAGCAGUGGGGAAUAUUGCACAAGGGGCGGAAGCCUGAUGAAGCAACGCCGCGUGCGGGAUGACGGCCUUCGGGUUGUAGACCGCUUUCGCCUGUGACGAAGCGUGAGUGACGGUAAUGGGUAAAGAAGCACCGGCUAACUACGUG
rnacentral:rRNA from 1 species